AUUUAGAUUUGAAAUAAACUAAACUAGACCAAAGAGCUCUUUUCCUACUUAGUAUGCAAGAAGAGUGGACGUUUAUAAAGUAACAAAGAUUACCUUGCGUUCUUGUGCAAAUUCCAAUGAACCAUUUACCUAUGAAGCUAAACUCCGGUUGUAUCGAGCCAACUUAAUUGACCUCCAGAGAGUCCUUUAGAUUUCUUUCCUGAUCAUUCAAUCUCUUCGAUCUUCCAUAACUUCUUCACCUCUUUGUUAUUCAGAUUUUGGAUCUUUGAUUCUUGUAAUAAACAUACAUCUGUCUUUCGUUUUUCUAGUAGUUGGUUCAGCCUUCUUUUCUUAAUU
rnacentral:lncRNA from 1 species